GCCGCAAGAGGAGGUGGGUCACCUGACGCCUCACAAACUCCGAACAAAAUGGCGGCGCCCGUGCUGCGGCGCUGCCGGGUUUGGCUCGGGGCUGGGCAUCGCAGCGUCGGGAAUGUCGCCGAACUGCGCGACCCGGAGGGUCCGGUGGCCGCUAGCGCGCUCUGCCGGAGUGCGAAAGAGAUGACAGAGAAGCAGAAACGGAAUGUUCCCUGGGCAGCAGUGGUAGGCCUGGAAAUUCAUGCACAGAUCUGCUCCAACUCAAAGCUUUUCUCUGGUUCACAAGUCCAGUUUGCAGCAGCACCUAACUCCUUAGUAUCUUUUUUUGAUGCUUCUCUACCUGGAACUCUACCUGUUCUCAACAGGAGAUGUGUAGAAGCCGCAGUGAUGACGGGCCUUGCGCUGAACUGCACCAUAAACAAGAAGUCCUUGUUUGACAGGAAACACUAUUUCUAUGCAGAUCUGCCUGCCGGCUAUCAGAUCACUCAGCAAAGGCUUCCCAUUGCUGUGAAUGGGAACUUGUCAUACAUUCUGCGCAAGGGGAAAAACCAGAAUGAAAUGGUUACCAGGAGUGUGAGGAUCAAGCAGAUACAGUUGGAGCAAGACAGUGGAAAGAGUCUUCAUGAUGAUUUAAGGAGCCAGACCCUUGUGGAUUUGAACAGGGCAGGAGUUGGCCUCAUGGAGGUUGUCAUGGAGCCCGACAUGUGCUGUGGGGAAGAGGCGGCUGCAGCAGUGAGAGAGCUUCAGCUUAUCCUGCAGGCUCUUGGGAGCAGCCAAGCAAACAUGGCAGAGGGUCAACUGAGAGUAGAUGCCAAUGUAUCCGUGCAUCGCCCUGGAGAACGUCUUGGAGUGAGGACUGAAGUGAAGAAUAUCAACAGUGCCCGAUUUCUUGCCAAGGCCAUAGACUAUGAAAUACAAAGGCAAAUUGAAGAGCUGGAGAAUGGAGGAACUAUUUUGAAUGAAACCAGAGCCUUUGACUUUAAACGUGGGCGCACCAUAGCAAUGAGAGACAAAGAAGGAAAACAAGACUAUCGGUUUAUGCCGGAGCCGAACCUUCCUCCAUUGAUUCUUCGCGAUUCUAAAUCUUCGCCUGCUCACACAAGCGACCAGCAAGUGGUGAAUAUUGAUUGGCUUCGGGAGAGGCUUCCUGACCUCCCCAGUGCGAAGAGAGCAAAGCUUGUUGAAUGUUAUGGGAUUCAGCCUCAGCACAGUUUCACCUUAUUGAAUGAAGAUGGAUUAGUAGAAUUUUUUGAAGCUGUGGUGAAUGCAACAGGAAUGGCUCCCAAAAAGGUCGUUGGCUGGAUUAUAAAAGAUAUUCUUGGCUAUUUAAAACAGUAUAACCUUGAAGUAAAGGAAAGUCCAGUCAGUCCUCUUCUUCUGGCCGAACUUCUGAACCUUCUGGAAAGCGGAACGAUUUCUUCCUCGGCAGCCAAACAAGUGCUGGAAGUGAUGUGGAAGGGGGAAGGGAAGUCUCCAUCUCUGAUUGUUAAAGAAGAGAAGCUUGAACUGUUGCAGGAUCAGAAUGAGCUUGAGUGCAUCUGUCAGACUGUGAUGGGAGCCCAUCAGAAAGAGGUGGCAGACAUAAAGAAGGGCAACAAAAAAGCACUGAAUAAGCUUAUUGGACAGGUUCAAAGAACAACAAGAGGACGCUCAGACCCUGUCCUGGUGAAACAAAUACUAGAGAAGCUGCUAUCAUAGGAGCCUGCGGUGAAAAUUCCAUAUCUGAUAUUCGCUGCUGUUAUCAGAGUGGUGAACAGGUUUGGAGCCUGACAGUUCUCCUGGACAAAGUGUGAGUAUCCAGGAAUACAUUUUCUUAGCUGUGUAAGCUCUGUCCCCUUUUAGAGGCAUGAGAGCUUGCCACAGUAAUAUGUUGGAUGCAAGGCUGCCCUUGAAAGAUGACAUAGGAAUUGCAACUGGGGUGAAAUGCUAUAAUUUGCCUUGUAAUGAAGAGGCAAAGAGAAGAAAACAUAUAGCUGUCUUGUGAUAACUUCAGCCUUACCCUAAAAGUCUGUAAACAACCUACUAUAUUUUGCAUGACCUCUUGUCAGGAAUAGGCAUGGACCAUAGGUGGUGUUGAGAAUGUAUUUUGUUUUGUUGAAAUCAUUAAUUGGAGAGUGGGAUGCAGAGAACUGUGAAAGGAUACAUCCAAAUAUGUUUGAACCUAUGCAACAGGGAGACUCUAGAGCAGGCUUCCUCAACCUUGGGCCUCCAGAUGUUUUGAGACUACAGUUCCCAUCAUUCCUGGCCACUGGUCCUGCUAGCUAGGGAUCAUGGGAGUUGUAGGCCAAAAACAUCUGGAGGCCCAAGGUUGAGGAUGCCUGCUCUAGAGAACAGUAGUUGAUGUAGCAGCAGGUUGAGGAGCAGUAUAUUCAUAAGUUGCUUUGUGGUGUAGGGAAAUGUCUUUAAAGUGCUUAGAAUAGAGAAACUAAAGACAACUGAAUUCAGAUUCAUUGUAUUAAAGUCUUUUUGUGCUGCAAAUAAAUAAGCUGGAAGAAAACACACAAAUGAAACCCACAAAAAUUGAGAGUACAGUCCUCCUCAUUUUCUACAAUUAAGGAGAUAAGGUGUGUAAAGAAUAUUAUAAGUAUAUAAAAAAUACGUUGUAGCAGCAGCUAGGCCAUAGUAUGCCACACACUAAUCUUGGUGCAAAUGCAGGAAGCACAUUAGAGACUUAAAUUUUUUCCUCCUUUAAUAUUGUAAGAUUGCUGAGAAGCAGUAGGGUGUGUCAUUUUAGGGGAUGAAACUUAAUUUUUGCAAAUUUCUUCAGUGAGGAGUCUUAAAAAUAUGUUUUUGGGUGUGAAAAAAAAUCAAAUCUGCUAUUGAUUUUGUGAUUGGACAACAUUUAGCUUGGUAAAUCUAUGUUUGAUUAAAAAGCACCCAAACUGCUCUUGGAAAAUCAAAGAAUGAUUUAAAAAAAAUAGUUUCUCUGCAUACAGCAUCUUUGGGUUAACAUUCCUGUAUUCUGCAAGGAGUAGAAUUUGUCACUGUUUAAAAAAGUCAGUUUUCACAUAGUCCAACUAAUUAGAGUAGCUGUGGCACCUUAACGACAGAUAACGUGACGGUGGCAUGAGCUGUCAAUUGUGGGAAGAAUGUACUCCAUCAGAUGCAUAGAGAGAACUGUAGAGACAGGGCAAUGGAAUAUAUUCUACUUAAAACCAAAAGUGGUGGUGUUUUUUUAAAGCCAAGCCUGAACACAGAGGCCUAAUGUGAGUGUUAAAUCAAUGGCCACAAAGAUCCAGUCACUUUAACAGAUGCACAACAAACCCUAGUAGAAUGGUAGUCAAAUCAGCAAAAUGCUUAAUUUGAGCUGACUUAAGGAAAGCUGUUAACUAUUCCUGCUGCAGAAGUAUUUUAGGGCUAGCUUGCUUUCUAAAUGCCUUUUUGGGCUAGUACCCAUCACUAAAUUAUUCCAAAUAGCUUACUUAUGCAAAGCAAUCCAAAGCCACAUUAAGCAAGAUGCAAUUUUCACUUUCCCUGAGAUGGCAUUUAUAUAGGAAUAAUUACAACACUACAGCUUGAAUUAGUGCUAUAAUCAUGGCUCGGAUAAUUACACCAGAAGACUGCAGCACUCAAUUUCAGAGAUGUUUGGAGGGGUGGUUGUUGUUUUUUAAAAAAAGAUUUGGGUGCCUUUUGACAUGAAACAAGCCAAAAUAGCAAAGUCUUUGUAUUUUGUACUCCUAUGUGUCAAGGAUCAUCAAGCUUACCAGCAAUUUGUAGCUGUCUUUUUUACUUAUUUGUGUAUAUCAUUCUGUGGUUUUCUAUUACUAACCCUCCAAAAAGUCACUGUAAAGACUGUGUAUAGUAAUUCUCCAAUUCAUAUUUUUAAAUUUUAUUAAAAUCCACAGAGACAAAA